rnacentral:sRNA from 1 species
UGGUGGAGGGCUGUGCUGUGGUGCUGUCUGCUAUGUGUCAGAUGUGGUGUCCUCAGGAAAGCAGGGCUUUUGCCUGAGCCCUGCAGGCAGUGACAGGGUGGUUUUUGCCUUUGAUUCAGACCACAUUGUGCAACACAUCAUUGGACAACCCAACCCAGAGAAACAAGGAUCAGCUGAUCCGGGCAGCCGUGAAGUUUCUGGACACCGACACCAUCUGCUACAGGGUGGAGGAGCCCGAGACAUUAGUGGAACUUCAAAGGAAUGAGUGGGAUCCAAUCAUCGAAUGGGCUGAGAAAAGAUACGGCGUGGAGAUCAGCUCCUCCACCAGCAUAAUGGGACCCAGCAUCCCUGCCAAGACUCGGGAGGUGCUCGUCAGCCACCUGGCAUCUUACAACACAUGGGCUUUACAAGGGAUUGAGUUUGUAGCUGCCCAGCUCAAGUCCAUGGUGCUGACCUUGGGCCUGAUUGACAUGCGCCUGACAGUGGAGCAGGCCGUGCUGCUGUCACGCCUGGAGGAGGAGUACCAGAAAUCAAAAUCAAGGACCAGCAGAAGUAUUGUCAAGUAGGCCUGGCAUGGUGGUUCACACCUGUAAUCCCAGCACUUUGGGUGGCUGAGGAGGAUGGAUCAUUCGAGGUCAGGAGUUUGAGACCAGCCUGGGCAACAUGGCAAAACCCUCUCUCUACAAAAAUACAAAAAUUAGCACCUGUAGUCUCAGCUACUUGGGAAGCUGACGUGGGAGGAUUGCUUGAACCUGGGAGGUGGAGGUUGCAGUGAGCCAAGAUUGUGCCACUGCAU